GCCGUGGAGUGAGCGACAUUAUCUCAAUAUUGCCACUUGACCGCUACAUUAGAAAAGUGUUUUCUUUACCACUUUGUUGCUGUUUUCUCAUCACGCAUAUGAUUGUAAGGAGCCUCAACAACUUGUAUGACACUAGGAAAGAAAACAAGAAGAGCUUGGUGGCACAACCCUCCACCCAGUUCCAAAGGGAACGCUCAUACUGUCCAUCCGAAGUGCCAAAGAGGAGUGGCGUUGCAUUACACGCGUCAUACGGGGAGGGGGCAUUCUAGAGAUCGUUGAAUUCAUAUUUCAUGAAACUUAGCACUUGUGCGAUUGGAACGAGAAAUGAAUUUCUGGAAGCCUCUAUUUAUUUGUGCAACAUGGUUGCCUUGCAUUUACACCGCAGAUCGCAACGCGCACCUACUGUUCACGGCGAAGUGCUGAAGAAACAACUUGUCCGGUGCUGCUUCUGCGAGUGCGCUGAGUUCCUCCACUCUGCGUGACUGCGAGCGUCACGAACAUUACAUAGUGUGGGCAAAAGGUAGACAUCCUAUAUAGCUACGAUGCGACGAGGUGGUACCGACGAUGGAUCUCGCUACCAACACAGUGAAGGAGACUUCGACAAACUGCAGAUAAGUAUAUUUCUACUGUUUCAUAUUUAGCAUAAUAAGAGUGCACGGAUUAAGUCACUUUCGUAGUAACGAACUGAAUGUCCAGCAGUUUAAAGAAGGCAGUGAUAACCAAUGAGUGUUCGUGCUUUUACGUGCAAGUGGGCCUGCGAAAAUAUGGAAUAGAUGAAGGUAACCUUCACUAACUUGGUGAGGCAACAGAAAUUCAUGAGUGACAUUAAGCUAGAAAAUUUAUGGAAGAGUAUCUUUAUCCAAGUGAAAUAUCAAUAGCAAGUACUGAUAUAAAGCAGGAAACUUAUACAAACAUUUCAUGGGUUGAACAGCACAUGGAAGGCAUUACCGAAUCGUGAUCGCCACGUUACCGAUAUCCUUGAAAAAAGUCUAGAAUCAUUGCAUUCCACCGGUUAUGCAAUAUGGGACAUAAACCUGGAGGUUAACAAAGAAACUUGAGAUGUCAAGGACUGUGUAGAAAGCGAAGUAACAAAAAUUGUUGCAGAUAGCAUUAAGGCAGGAAGACAGUGGCGUAGUAAACCGUGGCAAGUGAUAUGCUAGUUGAGAUUAAAAAAGAAAGGAAUCGGCAGGCAGGCCAUGCACGUAUUCGAUCACUUGUUGCCAAUUCAUAUCAGGUGAUUACAUAAGCAUUACAGAAUGAAUGUCAAGGAGAGAGAACUACAGCCAACGAUGGUAGAAAAUUGCGUAAUGGGACAAGAAUAUGAUGUUUGUAGGCAUAGGAUGCAAUCAGCUCGUAUAAGACGGGAUUGUAGGGUGAGGCAUUUGUUUUGCAGCGAACAAAAAUAGGUUUGUGGUGCUGACAGUAGAGACUUGUGAAGGUGCAGGGCCACCUCAGCUGCUGGCACACUAAUCAACAUGACAAUUGGCUGUGAAAAAGAAAACCCCAGUUUUGAAAAAUAAAGCAAUGUUGUCCCAACGCAUUGUUUUACUAAGCAUACUACGCUAGAGGCUUCCACAUUUAAGGGCACUUAGUACUAAUAGUGCAACGAGCAUUUUUCUUUGUAAAUAAUGGUUUGUAUGUGGCUGAUUCAUUCCAAUACACUUUUUUGCAGCAAAACAUUCUGCUGCUGGAGCCACUCAACCGCCUGGUGGCAGUAGGCGAGCGCCAGGCACGUGCUCUUGAGAGUGUGGCAAAGGUCCAGAGGGCUGCUCCGCAACAGUAGUAUCGGUGCCCUCACUGCUGUCCUGUCGAGCCCACAGAAGGCACCUUAUAAAGGAGCUUUCAGUUUAAUAUUUUGUUUAUUAUUCAAGAACAUGAAUAAAAUUAUUGCAGUAAA